rnacentral:rRNA from 1 species
CCUACGGGGGGCAGCAGUGGGGAAUAUUGGACAAUGGGGGCAACCCUGAUCCAGCCAUGCCGCGUGUGUGAAGAAGGCCCUCGGGUUGUAAAGCACUUUCAGUGAGGAAGAACGCCUGGUGGUUAAUACCCAUCAGGAAAGACAUCACUCACAGAAGAAGCACCGGCUAACUCCGUGCCAGCAGCCGCGGUAAUACGGAGGGUGCGAGCGUUAAUCGGAAUUACUGGGCGUAAAGCGCGCGUAGGUGGCUUGAUAAGCCGGUUGUGAAAGCCCCGGGCUCAACCUGGGAACGGCAUCCGGAACUGUCAAGCUAGAGUGCAGGAGAGGAAGGUAGAAUUCCCGGUGUAGCGGUGAAAUGCAUAGAGAUCGGGAGGAAUACCAGUGGCGAAGGCGGCCUUCUGGACUGACACUGACACUGAGGUGCGAAAGCGUGGGUAGCAAACAGGAUUAGAUACCCCAGUAGUC